rnacentral:ncRNA from 1 species
UUUUCCGCGAAAUCUAUUUCAGUAGAGCGUAUGAUGUCGAUGGCCCGAGGUAGAGCACUCAAUGGGCUAGGGUUGCCCCAUUUCGCCUUAUCAACUCCAAGGAAACUCCGAAUACAGACCUAGAUCGUUUGUACAGACAGACUUUUUGGGUGCUAAGAUCCAAAAUCGAGAGUGAAACAUCCCAGAUCGUACGCUAAGGUCCCAAAGCAAUCACUUAGUGGAAAAGGAAGUGAUCGAGAGAUGACAACCAGGAGGAGGGCUUGGAAGCAGCCAUCCUUUGAAGAAAGCGUAAUAGCUCACUGGUCUUAGCUCCAUGGCACCGAAAAUGUAUUAGGGCUCAAGUGAUUCAACGACGCGACGAGACUUUGAAAGCUGCUGUUUUAAGUGUAAGUAGCGGAACGUUCUGUCAAUCGGGGAAGGUUUUUGGUGACAAGACCUGGAGAUAUCAGAAGUG